GACGGAGGAUGCAAGUGUUAUCCGGAAUCACUGGGCGUAAAGCGUCUGUAGGUUGUUUAAAAAGUCUGCAGUUAAAGGUUGAAGCUUAACUUCAAAAAUGCCGUAGAAACUUUUAAACUAAGAGGAUGGUAGGGGUAGAGGGAAUUUCCAGUGGAGCGGUGAAAUGUGUAGAUAUUGGAAAGACCACCGAUGGCGAAGGCACUCUACUGGGCCAUGACUGACACUGAGAGACGAAAGCUAGGGGAGCGAAUGGG
rnacentral:rRNA from 1 species